rnacentral:rRNA from 1 species
UCGUCGCCUCUCGAAAAACACGACCGUUGCACGCGUGACAGAAUGCUGCCCGGGAGGCGCUUGCUGCCUCCUCGGCCCCCGCCGGCCUCUUCCCUCUCGCCCUCCGGGCGCGUCGGUCGCUGGCCGGAAYACGGCGCGGGAUGACGCCAAGGAACACGAGAAAGAGCUGAGGCACCGGCGAGCCGCUCCGUGGYGGCGCCGGUUGCCGAGGCCGAUGAAAAAAAGUAUGACUCUCGGCAACGGAUAUCUCGGCUCUCGCAUCGAUGAAGAACGUAGCGAAAUGCGAUACGUGGUGUGAAUUGCAGAAUCCCGUGAACCAUCGAGUCUUUGAACGCAAGUUGCGCCCGAGGGACCCUCCCGAGGGCACGCCUGCCUCACGGGCGUUAGAAGCCCAUCCACGCUCGGUUGCCUCAGGGCAAAAAGAUGCGGACAUUGGCCCUCCGAACCGCGAGGUGCGGUGGGCCCAAGUGUGCGGCCGUCGYGUGYGGCCGGGAGCGGCGAGUGGUGGGCUACUGCGCACGUCGCCCCGAGCUCCGUACCGACACAGGGCCUUGUUUGACCCCCUAACGAGGAGCAUGCCGCYGCGGCCUGCGCUGCGCGGCGCCUUCGGACC